AGUGAACGCUGGCGGUAGGCCUAACACAUGCAAGUCGAACGGCAGCACAGGAGAGCUUGCUCUCUGGGUGGCAAGUGGCGGACGGGUGAGGAAUACAUCGGAAUCUACUCUGUCGUGGGGGAUAACGUAGGGAAACUUACGCUAAUACCGCAUACGACCUACGGGUGAAAGCAGGGGACCCUCGGGCCUUGCGCGAUUGAAUGAGCCGAUGUCGGAUUAGCUAGUUGGCGGGGUAAAGGCCCACCAAGGCGACGAUCCGUAGCUGGUCUGAGGGGAUGAUCUGCACCACGUGAAAUGAGACACGGUCCAGACUCCUACGGGGGGCAGCAGUGGGGAAUAUUGGACAAUGGGCGCAAGCCUGGUCCGGCCAGACCGCGUGGGUGAAGAAGGCCUUCGGGUUGUAAAGCCCUUUUGUUGGGAAAGAAAGCCAGCUGGCUAAUACCCGGUUGGGAUGACGGUACCCAAAGAAUAAGCACCGGCUAACUUCGUGCCAGCAGCCGCCGUAA
rnacentral:rRNA from 1 species